rnacentral:rRNA from 1 species
AACGAACGCUGGCGGCAGGCCUAACACAUGCAAGUCGAACGCUGUAGCAAUACAGAGUGGCAGACGGGUGAGUAACACGUGGGAAUCUUCCUAUCGGUACGGAAUAGCUCAGGGAAACUUGGGGUAAUACCGCAUACGCCCUUCGGGGGAAAGAUUUAUCGCCGAUAGAUGAGCCCGCGUCUGAUUAGCUAGUUGGUGAGGUAAUGGCUCACCAAGGCGACGAUCAGUAGCUGGUCUGAGAGGAUGAUCAGCCACAUUGGGACUGAGACACGGCCCAAACUCCUACGGGAGGCAGCAGUGGGGAAUAUUGGACAAUGGGCGCAAGCCUGAUCCAGCCAUGCCGCGUGAGUGAUGAAGGCCUUAGGGUUGUAAAGCUCUUUCAGUGGGGACGAUAAUGACGGUACCCGCAGAAGAAGCCCCGGCUAACUUCGUGCCAGCAGCCGCCGUAAGAC